GCUGGGUGUGGUGGUGCACACCUGUAAUCCUAGUUACUUGGGAGGCUGAGGUGGGAGGAUUGCAUGAACCCAGGAGGCGGAGGUUGCAGUGAGCCAAGAUUGUGCCACUGCACACUCUACCCUGGGCAAACAGAGCAAGACUCCAUCUCAA
rnacentral:SRP_RNA from 1 species